AGUGAACGCUGGCGGUAGGCCUAACACAUGCAAGUCGAACGGCAGCACAGGAGAGCUUGCUCUCUGGGUGGCGAGUGGCGGACGGGUGAGGAAUACAUCGGAAUCUACUUUUUCGUGGGGGAUAACGUAGGGAAACUUACGCUAAUACCGCAUACGACCUACGGGUGAAAGCAGGGGAUCUUCGGACCUUGCGCGAUUGAAUGAGCCGAUGUCGGAUUAGCUAGUUGGCGGGGUAAAGGCCCACCAAGGCGACGAUCCGUAGCUGGUCUGAGAGGAUGAUCAGCCACACUGGAACUGAGACACGGUCCAGACUCCUACGGGAGGCAGCAGUGGGGAAUAUUGGACAAUGGGCGCAAGCCUGAUUCAGCCAUACCGCGUGGGUGAAGAAGGCCUUCGGGUUGUAAAGCCCUUUUGUUGGGAAAGAAAUCCUGCUGGCUAAUACCCGGUUGGGAUGACGGUACCCAAAGAAUAAGCACCGGCUAACUUCGUGCCAGCCGCCGCUGUAA
rnacentral:rRNA from 1 species